ACGGGAGGCAGCAGUGGGGAAUAUUGGGCAAUGGGCGAAAGCCUGACCCAGCAACGCCGCGUGAAGGAAGAAGGUCUUCGGAUUGUAAACUUCUUUUAUGAGGGACGAAGGACGUGACGGUACCUCAUGAAUAAGCAUCGGCUAACUCCGUGCCAGCAGCCGCGGUAAUACGGAGGAUGCAAGCGUUAUCCGGAUUUAUUGGGUUUAAAGGGUGCGUAGGCUGUGCGACAAGUCAGGGGUGAAAGCCCGCCGCCCAACGGUGGAACUGCCUUUGAUACUGUCGCGCUGGAAUACGGAUGCCGUGGGAGGAAUGAGUAGUGUAGCGGUGAAAUGCAUAGAUAUUACUCAGAACACCGAUUGCGAAGGCAUCUCACGAAUCCGUCAUUGACGCUGAGGCACGAAAGCGUGGGGAUCAAACAGGAUUAGAUACCCUGGUA
rnacentral:rRNA from 1 species